rnacentral:rRNA from 1 species
AUACGGAGGACGCGAGCGUUAUCCGGAUUCAUUGGGUUUAAAGGGUGCGCAGGCGGCUGUGCAAGUCAGCGGUGAAAGCCCGGGGCCCAACCCCGGAAGUGCCGUUGAUACUGCAUGGCGGGAAUGCGGUCGAGGCGGGCGGAACGGGGCGUGUAGCGGGGAAAUGCGUAGAUAUGGCACAGAAAACCGAUAGAGGAGGCAGUUCGCCAGGCCUGCAUUGACGCUCGGGCACGAAAGCGGGGGGAUCGAACAGGAUUAGAUACCCUGGUAGUCCACGCCGUAAACGAUGGGCGCUCGUCGUCGGCGGCAGACAGUCGGCGGCCAAGCGAAAGCGAUAAGCGCCCCACCUGGGGAGUACGGUCGCAAGGCUGAAACUCAAAUGAAUUGACGGGG